AAAUAAAGAAAACAAAAAGAAGUAAAUAUAAAAUCAUGAGAGAAAUUCAAUAUUAAUUACAAACCAGUUGGAUAAAGACUGUUACUCCAUGAAGCACAUUGCAAGCAUGAGUACAAAGAAAGCUUCCACUCUGAUGGGGGAUUCAUUUCAGCAGGGAAACUAUUUCUACUUGUACUUGUAAAGAUUUUGAAAGUUAUUUCCGCUCUGCUCCAGUUCUGUAUCGCUUACUCCUAUAACAUUUGAAUAUCAUCUGCAUUGUUUACUAAUUUGUGAUUAUCAAUGAAGUUGGCAUACUAUUUACUCUAUGUUCAACCAAAUCAAGAAACUGACUUGGGAAAGUAAUAUCCUCGAGUAAAAUAAUUUCUAAAAUAUUACUUUACAUGCACAUAGUUGCUCCUUUGCCCCAUACUAAUAGAGGUAUGCGUGAGAGCGCAUAGAAGAAUACAACCUAAUUAAUAGUUAUACAAAAAUCACAAAUACUUCCAAUUAGUCUAUACCUAAUUAAUGUUCAUCUAUCAGGUCAGGAUUCCCUUGGCAACAGUUGCUUGAUUAUGACUGAUAUUUCUUCUGUUGAGACCAAAGAUUCAAAGGAGAACAGGCUUGUGCAGAAUAAAAUAAAAACUACUUAAAUACCACAAACCUAAACUUCUUGAAGAAUCCAAGAAAAUUAAGGAAAACCUUGAAUAUGAAAGACUUGGCCUGUCCAAUGAGAAAACUAAAAUCCUUAUCUUACCGUUUUCGGAGGGAAAAAAUAUUGAACACAAUGAUAAUUAAACGCAAACAAAUAGAGUUUUUGAGAAACCUUAGAUAAGUUAAAGGACAAUAUAAAUCAAAAACUUUUAAAAAUAGAUAAAGCAGAAAGGAAAGACACACAAUGAAAAAAGGGAAUAUCCCCAAAAUAAGAGUUCAUACCGAUGAAUAAAUAAAGGAGCUGUUGACUAAUAAAAUAAAAAAGAUUCAGAAGAAGCAACCACAGUUGGAGAAUGAAGCAGCGCUAGGUGUUUAGAAAAUGGAAAAGAUGAAGAUUUUGUUAGUAGAAAAAUAAUGAUUGGAGAAGAAGCACAGUAGGGAAAGAUUAGUUGAAUUUCAGGCUUAGCAAUGGGAAAAAGCUAAAGAAAUUAGGUUUAAACUCCAAUUUAACAGCUCAAAAUUAGGUACAACAUAUAGAUUUGCCAAGUGAUAAAUU
rnacentral:lncRNA from 1 species